GCUUUCGUGGUGUAGUGGUCAGCACAAUCAACGGGUUACCGAGAGGUUCGGGGUUCGAUUCCCGGCGAAGGUG
rnacentral:tRNA from 1 species